GAUGAAGAACGCAGCGAAAUGCGAUAAGUAAUGUGAAUUGCAGAAUUCAGUGAAUCAUCGAAUCUUUGAACGCACAUUGCGCCCGCCAGUAUUCUGGCGGGCAUGCCUGUUCGAGCGUCAUUUCAACCAUCAAGCCCCCGGCUUGUGUUGGGGACCUGUGGCUGCCGCAGGCCCUGAAAAGCAGUGGCGGGCUCGCUGUCACACCGAGCGUAGUAGCAUACAUCUCGCUCUGGGCGUGCUGCGGGUUCCGGCCGUUAAACCACCUUCAUAACCCAAGGUUGACCUCGGAUCAGGUAGGAAGACCCGCUGAACUUAAGCAUAUCAAUAAGCGGAG
rnacentral:misc_RNA from 1 species